rnacentral:lncRNA from 10 species
AAAUAAGUUACUUUUCUUUAUAAAUUACCCAAUUUCAGGCAUUCUGUUAUAAGCAAGAGAAAAUGGCUAAGACAGCGGAAACAUGCUCCAUCAAUCAGUCUGUCCUCUGCUGAGGUUUGCAAGGAUGACAGCCCCAUCCCAAGCACACGCUGGCCCCUGCCCCAUCAGCUUGUACCAGGGGAUCACAGGACACGCAGGCUGCUUGCUCCUACCACCCUCAUAGAGGUCUCUGUUUCCUCAUGAUCCUGCUUCAGGCCUUGCCAUAUUGUCAUCAUGUAAUCGUAAGACCGGUGGGAGGACAUGAAUAACACAUAAGAAACCAUACUGGGGAGGAGGAGCCAAGAUGGCCGAAUA